AGAGUUUGAUCCUGGCUCAGGACGAACGCUGGCGGCGCGCCUAACACACGCAAGUCGAACGGAGCUGAGAGGAGCUUGCUUUUCUUAGCUUAGUGGCGAACGGGUGAGUAACGCGUGAGUAACCUGCCCUGGAGUGGGGGACAACAGUUGGAAACGACUGCUAAUACCGCAUAAGCCCACGGAUCCGCAUGGAUCUGCAGGAAAAGGAUUUAUUCGCUUCAGGAUGGACUCGCGUCCAAUUAGCUAGUUGGUGAGGUAACGGCCCACCAAGGCGACGAUUGGUAGCCGGACUGAGAGGUUGAACGGCCACAUUGGGACUGAGACACGGCCCAGACUCCUACGGGAGGCAGCAGUGGGGGAUAUUGCACAAUGGGGGAAACCCUGAUGCAGCGACGCCGCGUGGAGGAAGAAGGUUUUCGGAUUGUAAACUCCUGUCGUUAGGGACGAUAAUGACGGUACCUAACAAGAAAGCACCGGCUAACUACGUGCCAGCAGCCGCGGUAAAACGUAGGGUGCAAGCGUUGUCCGGAAUCACUGGGUGUAAAGGGAGCGCAGGCGGACCGGCAAGUUGGAAGUGAAAACUAUGGGCUCAACCCAUAAAUUGCUUUCAAAACUGCUGGCCUUGAGUAGUGCAGAGGUAGGUGGAAUUCCCGGUGUAGCGGUGGAAUGCGUAGAUAUCGGGAGGAACACCAGUGGCGAAGGCGACCUACUGGGCACCAACUGACGCUGAGGCUCGAAAGCAUGGGUAGCAAACAGGAUUAGAUACCCUGGUAGUCCAUGCCGUAAACGAUGAUUACUAGGUGUUGGAGGAUUGACCCCUUCAGUGCCGCAGUUAACACAAUAAGUAAUCCACCUGGGGAGUACGACCGCAAGGUUGAAACUCAAAGGAAUUGACGGGGGCCCGCACAAGCGGUGGAGUAUGUGGUUUAAUUCGACGCAACGCGAAGAACCUUACCAGGGCUUGACAUUGAGUGAAAGGACAAGAGAUUGUCCCCUCUCUUCGGAGACACGAAAACAGGUGGUGCAUGGCUGUCGUCAGCUCGUGUCGUGAGAUGUUGGGUUAAGUCCCGCAACGAGCGCAACCCCUAUUCUUUGUUGCCAGCACGUAAUGGUGGGAACUCAAAGGAGACUGCCGCGGACAACGCGGAGGAAGGCGGGGAUGACGUCAAGUCAUCAUGCCCCUUAUGUCCUGGGCUACACACGUACUACAAUGGGAUGGACAGAGAGCAGCAAAGCCGCGAGGCCAAGCGAACCCCAUAAACCAUCUCCCAGUUCGGAUUGCAGGCUGCAACCCGCCUGCAUGAAGUUGGAAUCGCUAGUAAUCGCAGGUCAGCAUACUGCGGUGAAUACGUUCCCGGGCCUUGUACACACCGCCCGUCACACCACGGAAGUCAUUCACACCCGAAGCCGGCAGGCUAACCUUUUGGAGGCAGCCGUCUAAGGUGGGGGCGAUGACUGGGGUGAAGUCGUAACAAGGUA
rnacentral:rRNA from 1 species